rnacentral:tRNA from 1 species
GGGGCCGUUGAACCCGGAACACCCCGCUGGCAGUGUGGGGGUCAGGGGUUCGAGUCCCCUCAGCUCCACCC